CGGCUGAGAAACCUCCUCUGCCAGAUCCUGACCUGAGCCAGGAGGCGGCCAGGAAACUGGAUUUUGGGACUGGGAUUUCAGAGAGGAAGCUGGAGAGCUGCAGGGUGGUCAUCUGUCACUUUAUUUUGCCCGUCUUGUAGCAUGUGGGUCUUUCGCAGCAGGAAGUGUGUUUUACAACCAGAGCCCCCGCCCUCCUGCAGCGCAGGCGCAGCUGGCUGGGCUCCUGCUUCCCACUCUCCACCUCAUCCAUAUUUGUCCUCGUCCCUGCCAGUCUCGAAAAGGCACUCUGUCACGUGUACACAGGAAAGGGCCCUGACAAGAGGAUGGGACUGCAGUUGUGGCUGCCAGGGCCCCGGCCAGGGUGAAAACAAGGAACAUUCCAGAGAAGAUCACAAGGAUGCGAAUAAAAUCGGAGCUGCACAGGGAUCUUUGGGCUGUUGGAGUGCAGUGGCACGAUCUCGGCUCAGUGCAACCUCCGCCUCCUGAGUUCAAGUGAUUCUCCUGCCUCAGCCUCCCUAGUAGCUGGGAUUACAGGACAAGGAGAGGGACAAAUUCCUUCUUGGCAUCCUUAUGGCCCUGUGACCUGCUAAUGAAUGCUGACUCUGAGUUGCUACUAGAAUUUGGUUUCCUUGUGGCUUCCCAGGAAUUGGUCUCACUCUGCUCACUCUGUCUCCCAAGCUGGAGUGCAGUGGUACAGUCACGGCUCACUGCAGCCUCCACUUCCUGGACUCAAGUGAUCUUCUCACUUCAGCCUUCUGAGUAGCUGGGACUACAGCCCCCUCUGCAGCUCUUCAUGGGGGUCCACUCAAGUCAGAAGCCACAUUUGGGUGUGAUUCAGAGAGCUGUUUAUGCAAAACCAGCUUUGUCACCAUCAGGCAAGGCACCUGAAUUCCCACCGCAGAGAGUGUUGUGGCCGUGAGGACUUUUCUGUCACCAGCCAUUUCCAGGUAGACCCAGUGUAAUCACAAGCAUCCUUGUAAGUGGCAAAGAGGCAGAGGAGACAGCGCCAGAGAGGCAGCUGCAUGAGAAGGAUCAAGAUGUUGCUGACUUUGAAGUUGGAAGAAGAAGGCCAUGAGCCUCAGUAUGUGGGCGGCUUCUAGAAGCUGGAAGGGGCAAGGAGAUGGAUUUGACCCUUCAGCCUCCAGGGGCAGCUGUACCUGCCAUCACUGAUUGUAGCCUGGUGAGGCCUGUUUUAGACUUCUGACCUGUAGAGCUGUAACAUAAUACAUUUGGGUUGUUUUCAACCACUAAGUUUGUGGUAAUUUGUUGUAGCAGCUGUAGAAAAUGAAUACAUAUGAAUCCUCUGGCAUUUGUUUGAGAUUUGCUCUAUGGCCUAGUAUGUGGUUGUAAAUGUUCCAUCUGUGCCUGAAAAAAUGUAUAUUUCUAAUUCAGUAGUCUCUGCUUUUUUUUUUUAUUUUGUACCCCAUCAAUAAAAUGAUUUUCAGCAUGUAUCCCCAAAUAAACAAUAUUUUAUUUAUUGAUUGAUUGAUAAACAGACAUGUUUAAUGAUAGCUUGCUUUUCACAGAGGUGACUUCGGAGACUUCUAAUCUAUAAUCCAGGAGUAUAUAACCAUGCAGCACAGACCAAUUAGUCACAUGUAAAAUAAACUAGAUUCUUACCAC
rnacentral:lncRNA from 1 species